rnacentral:rRNA from 1 species
UACGGAGGGUGCAAGCGUUAUCCGGAUUCACUGGGUUUAAAGGGUGCGUAGGUGGGUUGGUAAGUCAGUGGUGAAAUCUCCGAGCUUAACUUGGAAACUGCCAUUGAUACUAUUAGUCUUGAAUAUUGUGGAGGUCAGCGGAAUAUGUCAUGUAGCGGUGAAAUGCUUAGAUAUGACAUAGAACACCAAUUGCGAAGGCAGCUGGCUACACAUAUAUUGACACUGAGGCACGAAAGCGUGGGGAUCAAACAGG